ACCGAUUAACAAAUGCCAAAAUGAUUAGUUUUUGUGUAUCACUAGCCAAACAAUAUACAUACAAAAUCAUGAUGUAUCUCAAGCAAAUGGUUUUGUCUUAACUAGGAAUGCGCUGGUCCGAUACCACCGAAAAAUACGGGAAUCAGGUAUACCGGCAACAGCGAGUCAAUAUUGUAAUGAUCUGAUACCACGAACCAGAUUGUAAUAACAGUGUGCGGAAAACACGUGACCGCAGCUCAGAAUAGAAACCGAGGCAUCCCAAUUGGUUCCCUAUUUCCUAUAUAGUGUCAUACUAUUGGUCGGAGCCCUGGUGCACUACAGGGAAUAGGGCACCAUUUGUAACACACUCCGUCCAGAGAUCCCCAGGAACCAGAGGAGAGGGGGGCGAUGCUGCUGCAUCCCAGGGCAAGGCCUUUCAUCUGGAAGUAUUUUAGAAGUCUAUUUUGGUAUCCCGACCCUCGCCAGCCAACCUGACCGCCUCUCUGGAUUAUUCCCAACGUACUGCGGCUUCUGAUCUGCAUUCAUACCCAGUUAUCAACCUUCUUACUUCAUUCCAGGCUGUCCCUUUAUAUACCUUUGCUACUCCCUCAUAAAGGUCCUGCACUCUGAGCUUGGAUCCAUCCCCCCAUCCAACCUGCUCUGUGUGCAUUCAUUACAGAAUAUAUAAAAAAUAAAAAUGAUUUGCUAACAAAGAUAAUAUAAAAACAAUCUGAAAUUCUAUAAGAAUUAAAAUCAAUGAUGACAUUUAAAUCUGUCUAUGUCUCUCUUUGUCUUAUUCUGUUUCGGAUGCCUCCGGAACGCCUUCCUGGGAAGGUGUUCCGGUCCCGUCCCACCGGGAGGAGACCCCGGGGAAGACCUAUACAAAGUGAGAAAAAUUGUUGAGUGCAAAUGGUACAACGUGUCGUUGGAGGGACUAUGUCUCCCGGCUGGCCUGGGAACGCCUCGGUGUCCCCCCGGAAGAGCUAGAGGAAGUGUCUGGGGAGAGGGAAGUCUGGGCAUCCCUGCUUAGACUGCUGCCCCCGCGACCCGGCUCCGGAUAAGCGGAAGAAGAUGGAUGGAUGGAUGUCUUAUUCUGUCUUUCUCAGAGACCCAGAGGGGAAAUGGAGGAUGACCAGGGAGGCUGGAGACCCAGAGGGAUGAUGGCUCAAGAGGUUGAUAACUUAGAGGAAACUGGGUGGCAAGUUCAUUUUGAAUGGAAAACCAGUCCUGUUAAUUUUGAACAAAAAAACAAAACACCCAAAAAAUGCACAAGCUAGGUGCAGUUUGGUUCAGAACCCAGUUGUAAAGAUUGUGCUUGUAAGUGCAUGCUGCUUGCUGGCGUGGGUAUACACUAUGUAGAGGUGUGUCUGACUGGGUUGGGUCACUAUCAGACUCCUCUCUUCUGGCUGGGGAUUGAGAACCCCGGACAGCUGUUUGAACCCUCUUAGCAGCCACCGUUCUCUGGUCCCCACAUAAACACCCACACACUCCUUCCAAUGGCCAUUGCACACUCAAACCCUCCCCAGCCUUACUCAGAGAUAAAGGAAAGGAGAAAUGGUGGGGGAAAGCGAGAAUAAAAGAGAAAUCAGAG
ensembl:lncRNA